rnacentral:rRNA from 1 species
UACGAAGGGGGCGAGCGUUGUUCGGAAUUACUGGGCGUAAAGCGCACGCAGGCGGCUCGAUAAAUUAGAAGUGAAAGCCCCGGGCUUAACCUGGGAAUUGCUUUUAAGACUGUCGGGCUAGAAUCCAGAAGAGGGUAGUGGAAUUCCGAGUGUAGAGGUGAAAUUCGUAGAUAUUCGGAAGAACACCAGUGGCGAAGGCGGCCUUCUGGACAGUGACUGACGCUGAGACGCGAAAGCGUGGGGAGCAAACAGG